rnacentral:rRNA from 1 species
GUAGGUGGCAAGCGUUGUCCGGAAUUAUUGGACGUAAAGCGCGCGCAGGCGGUUCUUUAAGUCUGAUGUGAAAGCCCACGGCUCAACCGUGGAGGGUCAUUGGAAACUGGAGAACUUGAGUACAGAAGAGGAAAGCGGAAUUCCACGUGUAGCGGUGAAAUGCGUAGAGAUGUGGAGGAACACCAGUGGCGAAGGCGGCUUUCUGGUCUGUAACUGACGCUGAGGCGCGAAAGCGUGGGGAGCAAACAGGAUUAGAUACCCUGGUAGUCCACGCCGUAAACGAUGAGUGCUAAGUGUUAGGGGGUUUCCGCCCCUUAGUGCUGCAGCUAACGCAUUAAGCACUCCGCCUGGGGAGUACGGCCGCAAAGGCUG